rnacentral:rRNA from 1 species
AGUGAACGCUGGCGGCAGGCCUAACACAUGCAAGUCGAACGGCAGCACAGCAGUAGCAAUACUGUGGGUGGCGAGUGGCGGACGGGUGAGGAAUACAUCGGGAUCUACCUUUUCGUGGGGGAUAACGUAGGGAAACUUACGCUAAUACCGCAUACGCCCUACGGGGGAAAGCGGCGGACCGCAAGGCGUCGCGCGAUGAG